rnacentral:rRNA from 1 species
UAGCGAAGGGGGCUAGCGUUGUUCGGAAUUACUGGGCGUAAAGCGCACGUAGGCGGAUAUUUAAGUCAGGGGUGAAAUCCCGGGGCUCAACCCCGGAACUGCCUUUGAUACUGGGUAUCUAGAGUCCGGAAGAGGUGAGUGGAAUUCCGAGUGUAGAGGUGAAAUUCGUAGAUAUUCGGAGGAACACCAGUGGCGAAGGCGGCUCACUGGUCCGGUACUGACGCUGAGGUGCGAAAGCGUGGGGAGCAAACAGG